rnacentral:lncRNA from 1 species
GCAGUGUCCUAAAGAUCAUGCAAGGCCUAAGAUAAACAAGAAUCCAAUAAAUCCACAAUUAAUUUCGUAAUUCAAAUAGAUAAAUCCAACAUGACCAAAUAAUCAAAUUGGUUCAUUUACAAAAGCUUUCAAUAUUCAUUAAUAUCAAGAUAGACUAAGUAACUAAUGACUCUCAUACUCGCACUCUGCGCUCAUCCCAUCCAUGUCUAUGCAUCCUGCAACUCUGAAAAAAAGAAAGAAGAAGAGGGGAUGAGCUUUACAGCCAAGUAAGAAUCCCUACACAUCCAUAGCAACACAAUAAUAAUAUGAAUUUGAAAGCCACGACAAAUCGAUGCACAUUUCAUGAAAUCAUAAACCGGCUAUCAAAAGGCUCAAAUAAUCAAUAUAAGUAUGUACGUCAAAUACCAAUGAAAGUCUAACCACGCAAGAAUGAUAUAGCAUACGAUAGCUCAUAAAUCUUCAUUAAUGUUU